rnacentral:lncRNA from 1 species
AUUGCGGCGACCGUGGAGACUUUUAAAAUAGAGGCCAACAUGACCGGGCAAGAAGAGCAGGGUCCUUCCUUCAGGUGUUUGGGACUCAACUGAGGGUGUGGGUGCCCCGCGGUGGGGGCUGAACCUUCCUGGGGUGUGGAGAGACGAAGGAGCCCAGAUCCAAGUUCCUUCGUUCCCGCUUUGGCACAAGUUGCCCGGGCGGUCUCAUGAGAGAGAGAGAGAGCUGGGACCCUCCUGGCCCCAGUGAGUGUGGUGUCUUGCUCCGGGUGUCCUGGGGCAACUUUCUAUAUAAAGGCGGGACGUGGGGAGGAUGAGACAGUUAACGUGAGACAAGGGUGUUGACUGUGCAGCGCAGAACCAGUAGUUUGUAGAGAAGAACCAGGUGUGAUGUUGAAUCUGCUAGACAGGCUACUGAAGCAAAAGUCAAGAGAUCCAGAUCCCAUCAUGGGGACACUUUAGAUUGAUACCGGAAAAGCCAUUUCCUAUUGAGCCCAAAAUGAAGAGAGUGCAAAUAAAGAGAAGGCAGGAAUCACAAGCCCUUGACAGACACAUUGCCACCUACAGGACCCUGCACCCAGAUUUCAUCUGCACAAUCAGCUUCUUCAAAGAGAGAGAGGCUGUCAAGGAAUUUUCUUGA